rnacentral:rRNA from 1 species
AUAGAUACCCGGGUAGUCCACGCCGUAAACGAUGUCGACUUGGAGGUUGUGCCCUUGAGGCGUGGCUUCCGGAGCUAACGCGUUAAGUCGACCGCCUGGGGAGUACGGCCGCAAGGUUAAAACUCAAAUGAAUUGACGGGGGCCCGCACAAGCGGUGGAGCAUGUGGUUUAAUUCGAUGCAACGCGAAGAACCUUACCUACUCUUGACAUCCAGAGAACUUAGCAGAGAUGCUUUGGUGCCUUCGGGAACUCUGAGACAGGUGCUGCAUGGCUGUCGUCAGCUCGUGUUGUGAAAUGUUGGGUUAAGUCCCGCAACGAGCGCAACCCUUAUCCUUUGUUGCCAGCGGUUAGGCCGGGAACUCAAAGGAGACUGCCAGUGAUAAACUGGAGGAAGGUGGGGAUGACGUCAAGUCAUCAUGGCCCUUAGAGUAGGGCUACACACGUGCUACAAUGGCAUAUACAAAGAGAAGCGACCUCGCGAGAGCAAGCGGACCUCAUAAAGUAUGUCGUAGUCCGGA